rnacentral:misc_RNA from 1 species
GAUGAAGAACGUAGCGAAAUGCGAUAAGUAAUGUGAAUUGCAGAAUUCAGUGAAUCAUCGAAUCUUUGAACGCACAUUGCGCCCGCCAGUAUUCUGGCGGGCAUGCCUGUUCGAGCGUCAUUUCAACCAUCAAGCCCCCGGCUUGUGUUGGGGACCUGCGGCUGCCGCAGGCCCUGAAAAGCAGUGGCGGGCUCGCUGUCACACCGAGCGUAGUAGCAUACAUCUCGCUCUGGGUGUGCUGCGGGUUCCGGCCGUUAAACCACCUUCAUAACCCAAGGUUGACCUCGGAUCAGGUAGGAAGACCCGCUGAACUUAAGCAUAUCAAUAAGCGGAGGA